rnacentral:tRNA from 1 species
AUUGGCAGACUAUUGCAUUAAGUUUAAACCUUAAUUAAACUAAAUC